rnacentral:rRNA from 1 species
UACGUAGGGUGCAAGCGUUGUCCGGAAUCAUUGGGCGUAAAGCGCGCGUAGGCGGCUUCGUAAGUCCGUUGUGAAAGUCAAAGGCUCAACCUUUGAAUGCCGAUGGAUACUGCGAAGCUAGAGUACGGAAGAGGCGAGUGGAAUUCCUGGUGUAGCGGUGGAAUGCGCAGAUAUCAGGAGGAACACCAAUAGCGAAGGCAGCUCGCUGGGACGUUACUGACACUAAGGCGCGAAAGCGUGGGGAGCGAACAGG